UUUGCUGUAAGAUUUUCUGGGGACAAUUUUUCAAGACUUUUGAUUUCUCAAAUAGUUUUUAAAUGAUUUUAAAGUCGCGGAGAUAUUUACGAUGACACAUUUCUAUGCUUUUUUAAAAUGUCCAUUUCUUUUAAAUGGGUGUCAUUUGGCAAAGCUGCAUCUUGGCAGCUGGACUGCAUCAUAUGCAGAUUGAGAUCAGUGACCUCACCCUGCGAUGCAAGCCUUGGGGUGGGUAACAGUGACAAGCCAAGUCAAGUUCAGUGAAUAGCCUAUUGUCAUCUGUACACAGUAAACCUUUUGCCAGCUCAGCUAAGAUUUCUAUAACACUUUAUGGUUUCCAAGGAGCUUUUCUCCCAACAUCCUCCUGAUGGAGGUAGUGAAAGUUUUACAGAUGAAAAAACUAAGGCUCAGAGAGGUCAUGACUGGCUCAAGGUCACAUAAUUAAUGCCAGGGCAGCACUCAUGCUACUAUAUUAUAUUCCUCCCUCCCUCCUUUCACUUUCUACCCCUCUCCCUCCCUCCCCUGCACUUGUGUAGGAAGCUUGCCAAAGCAGAAACCAUUCGUGUUGCUAAUACAUUGGAAUUAUUAUUAUUAUUAUUUGCUGGAGAGUUGUUUUCAGUCAUGUUUGACUUUUGGUGACCUCAUCUGGGGUUUUCUUGGUAUUUCCUUCUUCAGCUCAUUUGACAGAUGAAGAAACUGAGGCGAACAGGGUGAAGUGACGUCCUCGGGGUCAAACAGCUAGGGAGGACUUCGCAUGCCUGGGGUAGACAUCCUCUUAACUCAUCUACAUAUUUGAGGCAAGCUGUUUAGCCCUCCUGCAGAAACAGUUUAUCUGGAUGUGGCUGCUGCUUGUGCUACAGCUUCUUGGAGUUACAGGUGGGAAUUGGGUGACGGUUGGACACCAAAGGAAGAAAGCAGCCUUGAAAAGGGCUUGGCAAGCCCUCACACCAGAGGACCACUCCACCAAAGCUGCAUCAGCAAGACAAGAGAAAGAGAGGUGGAAAUACACAGAAUUUAUAUCCUGCUUACAACAAUUGACAAUUGAUUCAUAUAUCUCAUAA
rnacentral:lncRNA from 1 species